AACGCCGCGUGAGCGAUGAAGGCCUUCGGGUCGUAAAGCUCUGUUGUUAAGGAAGAACAAGUACGAGAGUAACUGCUCGUACCUUGACGGUACUUAACGAGAAAGCCACGGCUAACUACGUGCCAGCAGCCGCGGUAAUACGUAGGUGGCGAGCGUUAUCCGGAAUUAUUGGGCGUAAAGCGCGCGCAGGCGGUUUCUUAAGUCUGAUGUGAAAGCCCACGGCUCAACCGUGGAGGGUCAUUGGAAACUGGGGAACUUGAGUGCAGAAGAGGAAAGCGGAAUUCCACGUGUAGCGGUGAAAUGCGUAGAGAUGUGGAGGAACACCAGUGGCGAAGGCGGCUUUCUGGUCUGUAACUGGCGCUGAGGCGCGAAAGCGUGGGGAGCAAACAGGAUUAGAUACCCUGGUAGUCCACGCCGUAAACGAUGAGUGCUAAGUGUUAGAGGGUUUCCGCCCUUUAGUGCUGAAGUUAACGCAUUAAGCACUCCGCCUGGGGAGUACGGUCGCAAGACUG
rnacentral:rRNA from 1 species